AUCAGUUCCGUGACUCUCCAUUGCGCUGCGUGCUCCGUGCUUCCUGACUGUCCUGCAGAGAUGUCACCCCAUCGGUGGCAGAGGAGGGAGAGGAUAAGCGUUCACACAAUGUGCUGCCUUGAAAGCCCAUUUAACAGCUGGCAGCCUCUGCUUCCCGAGAUCCUGAAGGAACUCUAAUGAAAUGAAGGAAAAGGGUGGAAUGGUGUGUUGCUGCCGGAUUCAAGACAUCUAUCUCCCCUCAGCCCCAAACGACCUCUGAAGGGGGACACAAAGUGCUGGAAAGGACUGAGAGGACCGUGUCUCUGGGGGUCUGUUUGAGGCUUCAGUGCCUCGCCUCAAGUUGAAAACAAAACUUCCUCUGCUCAUGGUUGCUGUAUUUCUCGUACAUAGCUAAGCUCAGAGAUUUUAACUUUUUAAAUCCUCACUUUGAAAUUUCUGCUAAGGUCAGAAAAAGGGUGCGGCUCAUGCCUGGCAGGAUGUCAGGGUUGAGUCUGCCCUUCACGCACAGCCCGUACCUGUUGUCGAUGGCUGUGAGAAGGAGGGGUGGGAAGGAGCUUUCUCAGCUGCUGCCUGAAGAGAGGGAGGGCUGAGCUGCGGGCUGGGGACUGGCCACAAAAAUGUAAGACUGCCCUGGGAAACAGUGGCGAUGAGAUUUUGGAUUACUUCCGAUGUUAAUGAACCUCUGCUCUUUUGCCUCGACCCCAGCCAAUCAUAACGACAGGAGGGAAGAGUGUGUGCCCUACAGAUAAUUGGAAUAUUCCCUAAAUAAAACUUUGUUCUCCAAACAAAGGAAAACAAAGGUGUUAUAUAACAACAGACAAUUGCUCCAGAGAGCUCACAUUUUCAUUUUGUCAAUGUGUGGGGUGGUUUGAGCCAGUAAGGAGGAAAUUAAGCUCAGACUCUGCCUCUGGCUGAGAGAUCUUGCCCCGGACCUAGCGAUCCGAGCAGCUGUGGGCACAUUAUCACCAUCUGUCUUGGGUUAAAACUGUGUCCUUGUGUCAUCUUCCCCACCAGAACAUAAGGAACUUGAGGGCAAGGUCAGAGGCUAAUUCAAGAACGUUGUGCGUGCAUCUAAGCAAUGUGCUGCGAUCUUCUUUCAUACUCCAUCUCUGCUUAUCGGUGCCAUUUCUGCCUGUCUAAAUACACCCUUAAGCUUGCCUCCUUCAUCAUGCCUUUCCUUGCCUUCCCUCUCACCAGCUGGAAGUCAUCUCUACCUCUCCUAAGCUCUGAUUGUCUUCACCGUCCUCAUCCCAUAUUCACUUGUAUUAAAGUUAUUCUCAUACUUGUUUUCUGUCUGCUUUCAAAAUGCCAGCUGCCCGUUGUACCUCUUAUCUGCAGCUAUAGCUAAUAUAGUACCCUAUACAGAACGUCCUCAAAUAUGUAUUUGUUGAAUGAAUAAAUGCAUAAAUGAGUGAAAUAAAAGUCCAGGUAGUUCCUGGUUUCGUUGUUUUCC